rnacentral:tRNA from 1 species
CAGUAAAUAGUUUAUAGAAAAUAUUAAUUUUGGAGAUUAAAGAUAAGUUUAAUUGCUUUUUACUGA